rnacentral:rRNA from 1 species
CAGCAGCCACGGUAACACGGAGGGUGCAAGCGUUAAUCGGAAUUACUGGGCGUAAAGCGUGCGUAGGUGGUUGUUUAAGUCUGUUGUGAAAGCCCUGGGCUCAACCUGGGAAUUGCAGUGGAUACUGGGCGACUAGAGUGUGGUAGAGGGUAGUGGAAUUCCCGGUGUAGCAGUGAAAUGCGUAGAGAUCGGGAGGAACAUCCAUGGCGAAGGCAGCUACCUGGACCAACACUGACACUGAGGCACGAAAGCGUGGGGAGCAAACAGGAUUAGAUACCCCCGUAGUCCCUGUCUCUUAUAC